GUGCCAGCAGCGGCGGUAAUAACGGAAGGGUGCAAGCGUUAAUCGGAAUUACUGGGCGUAAAGCGCACGCAGGCGGUCUGUCAAGUCGGAUGUGAAAUCCCCGGGCUCAACCCGGGAACUGCAUUCGAAACUGGCAGGCUGGAGUCUCGUAGAGGGGUAGAAUUCCAGGUGUAGCGGUGAAAUGCGUAGAGAUCUGGAGGAAUACCGGUGGCGAAGGCGGCCCCCUGGACGAAGACUGACGCUCAGGUGCGAAAGCGUGGGAGCAAACAGGAUUAGAUACCCUGGUAGUCCACGCCGUAAACGAUGUCUA
rnacentral:rRNA from 1 species